UACGUAGGGGGCAAGCGUUGUCCGGAUUUAUUGGGCGUAAAGAGCGUGUAGGCGGCCAUGCAGGUCCGUUGUGAAAACUCGAGGCUCAACCUCGGGACGUCGAUGGAAACCGCAUGGCUAGAGUCCGGAAGAGGAGAGUGGAAUUCCUGGUGUAGCGGUGAAAUGCGCAGAUAUCAGGAAGAACACCCGUGGCGAAGGCGGCUCUCUGGGACGGUACUGACGCUGAGGCACGAAAGCGUGGGGAGCAAACAGG
rnacentral:rRNA from 1 species